ACCUACGGGGCGCAGCAAUGGGGAAUAUUGGGCAAUGGGCGCAAGCCUGACCCAGCAACGCCGCGUGAAGGAAGAAGGCUUUCGGGUUGUAAACUUCUUUUCUGAGGGACGAAGAAAGUGACGGUACCUCAGGAAUAAGCCACGGCUAACUACGUGCCAGCAGCCGCGGUAAUACGUAGGGAGCGAGCGUUGUCCGGAUUUACUGGGUGUAAAGGGUGCGUAGGCGGCUUGGCAAGUCAGUAGUGAAAUCCAUGGGCUUAACCCAUGAACUGCUAUUGAAACUGUCGAGCUUGAGUGAAGUAGAG
rnacentral:rRNA from 1 species